rnacentral:rRNA from 1 species
GAUGAACGCUGGCGGCGUGCCUAAUACAUGCAAGUCGAGCGAACGGACGCGAAGCUUGCUUCUCUGAUGUUAGCGGCGGACGGGUGAGUAACACGUGGAUAACCUACCUAUAAGACUGGGAUAACUUCGGGAAACCGGAGCUAAUACCGGAUAAUAUUUUGAACCGCAUGGUUCUAAAGUGAAAGAUGGUCUUGUUGUCCAUUAUAGAUGGAUCCGCGCUGCAUUAGUUGGUUGGUAAGGUAACGGCUUACCAAGGCAACGAUGCAUAGCCGACCUGGGAGGGUGAUCGGCCACACUGGAACUGAGACACGGUCCAGACUCCUACGGGAGGCAGCGGUAGGGAAUCUUCCGCAAUGGGCGAAAGCCUGACGGUGCAACGCCGCGUGAGUGAUGAAGGUCUUCGGAUCGUAAAACUCUGUUAUUAGGGAAGAACAUAUGUGUAAGUAACUGUGCACAUCUUGACGGUACCUAAUCAGAAAGCCACGGCUAACUACGUG